rnacentral:lncRNA from 1 species
CAAAUCUGAUUGCUUUAGGGUUUUGUCUUUUUGCCGAUUUUGGGGAUGGUUGAUCUUUCAAUUGAAUCCUCAAUCUGAUUGCUGACAUUAGAAUGUUCAUUCCAGUUUUGUCUUAAUUCCCAUCUAGUUGGUGAAAGGGUUUAGAUUUUGCUUGAAAUUUAUGCUUCAGAUGCGUUGAAGUUGUACUGUUUAUAAUUCUGUGUUGUACUCGGAUUCAAAGUUGUUGCCUUUACAUGUCAUAUAUCUGUUUUGGCUAUUUCAUGCCUCACCAUUGAAUCCUUCGUUUCAGGCCAAUCAACCAUUUACGAGAGCUAUCUUUCAGGCCUGAGUUCACUUAAAGGGUCCCUGCUUGGUUUGCUUAUGAGACUGACUAUUGUUUGUGGAGUUGAAUAAUAUCUGCAAAUGUCAAGUCUUCUUAAUGUACUGCCACAUAUCCUUUAUAUCAAUGUGUUGCAGUAUUACUAAUCUAGCUUCUAGGAUUUAUUCAUGUCUAUCAUUCCUCUGACUAGUGGUAGUUCCAGUCCUCAAAUUUAUCAGACUGUUCAGGGAGAACGUUUAUUUUUAGAAAAUAAUGCAAAAAUGACCCCUUUCUUUGGCUCUCCCUCUCAAUUUUCAUUUUUGAUUCUCAUUUGCAGAUAUAUCACUGUAGCUCUCUUGGAUACUCAGGACUCUCUAGUAGGU